UAACUGAAGAGUUUGAUCAUGGCUCAGAUUGAACGCUGGCGGCAGGCUUAACACAUGCAAGUCGAGCGGGGGAAGGUAGCUUGCUACUGGACCUAGCGGCGGACGGGUGAGUAAUGCUUAGGAAUCUGCCUAUUAGUGGGGGACAACAUCUCGAAAGGGAUGCUAAUACCGCAUACGUCCUACGGGAGAAAGCAGGGGAUCUU
rnacentral:rRNA from 1 species